rnacentral:lncRNA from 1 species
ACAAUGAUCAUGGAUAUGCCAGUUUGAUGCCUCUACUAUAUUUGCUCUAAUGGACCACGAUUAUGAGUAGCGGAGUGUCCUCAACAAAUCGACAGGUUCCAACAAUCGAGGAAUCUUCCCACCUAAUCAGUAUUCCUAUCAUUUCCCAAAUUACUACUUUUAAAUUUUUUAUUAAUAAACAUGUAAAUAGAAAAAAUAACAAUCAAAUUAUGUUUUUGCGCGAAAUAAAUAUCAGUUUCAGGACUUCAAACACAUUCAAAUGCUUGAAAACAUAAGACACAAAUAAUUUCCUAGAUACAACAAUAUUUUUUAGAAAUUUAAAAUACAAGUUCCAAAGUUCUUCUUCUUUCGGUGGGUUAAAAAUAAUCUCACUAAUCUCCAACAAGUUGUCGCUUUUAGAUUUUAUCUCAAUGAAGUUGUCUUUUCUCUCAACAAAGUUUCAAUGACUGUUUAAAUAAAUUUAAGAACAUUCAGACAUAUUUAAUACAUUUUUGAAACAUUGAACCAACAUUCCACCAAAUUAUCAAUUUUGUUCGUCAUAUUUGUCCUCUUACAAACAAUCAACAUACAUUUCAAACAAACGCCACACUCGUUUGGUUUCACAAUCAUUGCAAUGACAAUUCAGAUAAGAUUGUUCAAAUAUUUCUUUGUUUGAUAAGACAUGGUCAUUAUUGAAAAAUUGGUGUGAUAUCUUCGUGAUAUUUUUAGAAAUGGACUGAAGUGUGACUAUAGUAAUUGAAGUUUGUGUGAAAUAUAGGUGUAAUGUUUAUGAAAAUGAUUGAAAUAAUUAAAUUUUCUAUGUAUUUUUUGAAAUAUAUUGAAACUAAGAAUGAAGUUAGUGAAUAUUUUGUGAAUCUUAUUAAAAUACUUUGUAAAAGUAUUCAAACAAUAAUCUCACUAAAAUAGUAGAAAAGGUGAAAAAAUGUCAUUUUUGUAAUGCACCAAAAUAAUUGAACAAAACUGCAUUGAAUAUUUCAAUGGAAACUUAAAAAAACAUCGACAGUUAUACGUUUGGUACAUGUAUGAAAUGUUCUAGAAAAUUAUUCGAAAUGAUCAAAAUAAUUAACUAUAAACUAUUUAAGACUUACGCGUGACUUCUUAUUUCAAAUGUUUUGUCAUCAUGCAUAGUUGAAUGUGCAUUGUUCCCCAAUGGUAUUUGGUGUUCAUGACAAUGGGAUUAGUGUGACUAAUGUCAUUCAUCAAGUAUAUGUCACGACAUUGAUUGCCCGGUGGUUAUUGAGGGAGAUGGAUAGCUCCCUUAUUGAAAAAGGGGGAAAUGCGACAGUUUAUUUGAGUCAUUGGGAAGCCGCACUGUAGUGUGUAUUGGAAUGACUAUCUUUUUUUUCUUGUAUUCAUCAUUUCCAAGCAUCAUAUGAGCACAAAAGAAAAAAAAUGGUUAUGUGAAUGUUGAUGAUGUAAUCAACAUCAUAUUGUGAUCCUCCUUGAAGAGUUGUUGUUGGAAAAUCAUCCUUCGAGCUACAAGGGAGGGUAACUAACAAUGUAAUGGAGUCUAAAGAGUGGCAUACCAUAUUUUGGCUACCUUAUCUUAACUGUUAAAGCAUAUAUAUGAAAGAUUUCACUGUAGGUGCUGAUCUCAUUCCCUCGUUAGGCUAUGAAACUAAAUGUGAAUUUCGUGUAUGAAAGAUUAAUUAUAUUGUGUAAACACUAGUAGGUGAUGCUAACAAAUGUUCUAACUUUGGUUUAUAAGUGGACAAACUAACAUUAUAACAGUACUUAGAGUUUCAUUGUUGGUUGCAAGACUGUUUAAAAUAUUUGGGAUUGUCUUCUAUGCAAGAGGUAGCUAGUAGCAAAUGACUAGAUAGCAACAUUAAUUUUUCUGCUUGGCCCUUGCUUCACGAG